ensembl:snRNA U2 U2 spliceosomal RNA
UUCGCUUCUCUGCCUUUUGGCUAAGAUCAAGUGUAGUAUCUGUUCUCAUCAGUUUAAUAUCUGAUAUGUCCUCUAUAUGAGGACUGCUUAUUUUCUUGGGCAGUCAUGUGCUGAGGUGUCCUUGAGCAAGACAUCUAACCCCCA